rnacentral:rRNA from 1 species
UACGUAGGGUGCAAGCGUUGUCCGGAAUUAUUGGGCGUAAAGAGCUCGUAGGCGGUCUGUUGCGUCGGCUGUGAAAACCCGGGGCUCAACUCCGGGCCUGCAGCCGAUACGGGCAGACUAGAGUUCGGCAGGGGAGACUGGAAUUCCUGGUGUAGCGGUGAAAUGCGUAGAUAUCGUAAGGAAGACCAGUGGCGAAGGCGGGUCUCUGGACAGCUCCUGACGCUGAGGCACGAAGGCCAGGGGAGCAAACGGG